rnacentral:rRNA from 1 species
CCUACGUGAGGCAGCAGUGAGGAAUAUUGGUCAAUGGCCGGAAGGCUGAACCAGCCAUGCCGCGUGAAGGUCAGUGCCCUAUGGGCGUUAAACUUCUUUUGUGCGGGAGCAAUAAUGGUCAGGUGUUGCCAGACGAGAGUACCGUACGAAUAAGCAUCGGCUAACUCCGAGCCAGCAGCCGCGGUAUUCCGAGGGAUGCAAGCGUUAUCCGGAUUUGUUGGGUUUAAAGGGUACGUAGGCGGAUGUUUAAGUCAGCGGUAAAAUGUCCGGUCUCAACCCGGACCUGCCGUUGAAACUGGGGAUCUUGAGUGGGCGAGAAGGAUGCGGAAUGCGAGGUGUAGCGGUGAAAUGCGUAGAUAUCACGAAGAACUCCGAUUGCGAAGGCAGCAUACCGGCGCCCGACUGACGCUGAGGCGCGAAAGCGUGGGGAUCGAACAGGAUUAGAUACCCUUGUAGUC